rnacentral:rRNA from 1 species
UGGGGAAUCUUGCACAAUGGGCGAAAGCCCGAUGCAGCAACGCCGCGUGGGCGAUGAAGGCCUUCGGGUCGUAAAGCCCUUUUUGAGGGGAUGAGGAAGGACAGUACCCUCAGAAUAAGCCUCGGCUAACUACGUGCCAGCAGCCGCGGUAAAACGUAGGAGGCGAGCGUUAUCCGGAUUUACUGGGCGUAAAGCGCGUGCAGGCGGAUUGGAGAGUUGGAUGUGAAAGCUCCCGGCUUAACUGGGAGAGGUCGUUCAAUACUUCCAGUCUUGAGUGCAGUAGAGGGAAGUGGAAUUCCGGGUGUAGUGGUGAAAUGCGUAGAUAUCCGGAGAAACACCAGUGGCGAAAGCGGCUUCCUGGACUGUAACUGACGCUCAGACGCGAAAGCUAGGGUAGCAAACG